AGGGAUGUCACUCAGUCGGUAGAGUGCUUGCCUUACAUGUGCAAGGCCCUGGGCUCAAUCCCCAGCACCACAA
rnacentral:tRNA from 1 species